rnacentral:rRNA from 1 species
CGAAAGUCUGACGGAACAACGCCGCGUGAGUGAUGAAGGUUUUCGGAUCGUAAAGCUCUGUUGUUAGGGAAGAACAAGUGCCGUUCAAAUAGGGCGGCACCUUGACGGUACCUAACCAGAAAGCCACGGCUAACUACGUGCCAGCAGCCGCGGUAAUACGUAGGUGGCAAGCGUUGUCCGGAAUUAUUGGGCGUAAAGGGCUCGCAGGCGGUUUCUUAAGUCUGAUGUGAAAGCCCCCGGCUCAACCGGGGAGGGUCAUUGGAAACUGGGGAACUUGAGUGCAGAAGAGGAGAGUGGAAUUCCACGUGUAGCGGUGAAAUGCGUAGAGAUGUGGAGGAACACCAGUGGCGAAGGCGACUCUCUGGUCUGUAACUGACGCUGAGGAGCGAAAGCGUGGGGAGCGAACAGGAUUAGAUACCCUGGUAGUCCACGCCGUAAACGAUGAGUGCUAAGUGUUAGGGGGUUUCCGCCCCUUAGUGCUGCAGCUAACGCAUUAAGCACUCCGCCUGGGGAGUACGGUCGCAAG